GGUUAAGCGACUAAGCGUACACGGUGGAUGCCCUGGCAGUCAGAGGCGAUGAAGGACGUGCUAAUCUGCGAUAAGCGUCGGUAAGGUGAUAUGAACCGUUAUAACCGGCGAUUUCCGAAUGGGGAAACCCAGUGUGAUUCGUCACACUAUCAUUAACUGAAUCCAUAGGUUAAUGAGGCGAACCGGGGGAACUGAAACAUCUAAGUACCCCGAGGAAAAGAAAUCAACCGAGAUUCCCCCAGUAGCGGCGAGCGAACGGGGAGCAGCCCAGAGCCUGAAUCAGUGUGUGUGUUAGUGGAAGCGUCUGGAAAGGCGCGCGAUACAGGGUGACAGCCCCGUACACAAAAAUGCACAUACUGUGAGCUCGAUGAGUAGGGCGGGACACGUGGUAUCCUGUCUGAAUAUGGGGGGACCAUCCUCCAAGGCUAAAUACUCCUGACUGACCGAUAGUGAACCAGUACCGUGAGGGAAAGGCGAAAAGAACCCCGGCGAGGGGAGUGAAAAAGAACCUGAAACCGUGUACGUACAAGCAGUGGGAGCACGCUUAGGCGUGUGACUGCGUACCUUUUGUAUAAUGGGUCAGCGACUUAUAUUCUGUAGCAAGGUUAACCGAAUAGGGGAGCCGAAGGGAAACCGAGUCUUAACUGGGCGUUAAGUUGCAGGGUAUAGACCCGAAACCCGGUGAUCUAGCCAUGGGCAGGUUGAAGGUUGGGUAACACUAACUGGAGGACCGAACCGACUAAUGUUGAAAAAUUAGCGGAUGACUUGUGGCUGGGGGUGAAAGGCCAAUCAAACCGGGAGAUAGCUGGUUCUCCCCGAAAGCUAUUUAGGUAGCGCCUCGUGAAUUCAUCUCCGGGGGUAGAGCACUGUUUCGGCAAGGGGGUCAUCCCGACUUACCAACCCGAUGCAAACUGCGAAUACCGGAGAAUGUUAUCACGGGAGACACACGGCGGGUGCUAACGUCCGUCGUGAAGAGGGAAACAACCCAGACCGCCAGCUAAGGUCCCAAAGUCAUGGUUAAGUGGGAAACGAUGUGGGAAGGCCCAGACAGCCAGGAUGUUGGCUUAGAAGCAGCCAUCAUUUAAAGAAAGCGUAAUAGCUCACUGGUCGAGUCGGCCUGCGCGGAAGAUGUAACGGGGCUAAACCAUGCACCGAAGCUGCGGCAGCGACGCUUAUGCGUUGUUGGGUAGGGGAGCGUUCUGUAAGCCUGCGAAGGUGUGCUGUGAGGCAUGCUGGAGGUAUCAGAAGUGCGAAUGCUGACAUAAGUAACGAUAAAGCGGGUGAAAAGCCCGCUCGCCGGAAGACCAAGGGUUCCUGUCCAACGUUAAUCGGGGCAGGGUGAGUCGACCCCUAAGGCGAGGCCGAAAGGCGUAGUCGAUGGGAAACAGGUUAAUAUUCCUGUACUUGGUGUUACUGCGAAGGGGGGACGGAGAAGGCUAUGUUGGCCGGGCGACGGUUGUCCCGGUUUAAGCGUGUAGGCUGGUUUUCCAGGCAAAUCCGGAAAAUCAAGGCUGAGGCGUGAUGACGAGGCACUACGGUGCUGAAGCAACAAAUGCCCUGCUUCCAGGAAAAGCCUCUAAGCAUCAGGUAACAUCAAAUCGUACCCCAAACCGACACAGGUGGUCAGGUAGAGAAUACCAAGGCGCUUGAGAGAACUCGGGUGAAGGAACUAGGCAAAAUGGUGCCGUAACUUCGGGAGAAGGCACGCUGAUAUGUAGGUGAAGUCCCUCGCGGAUGGAGCUGAAAUCAGUCGAAGAUACCAGCUGGCUGCAACUGUUUAUUAAAAACACAGCACUGUGCAAACACGAAAGUGGACGUAUACGGUGUGACGCCUGCCCGGUGCCGGAAGGUUAAUUGAUGGGGUUAGCGCAAGCGAAGCUCUUGAUCGAAGCCCCGGUAAACGGCGGCCGUAACUAUAACGGUCCUAAGGUAGCGAAAUUCCUUGUCGGGUAAGUUCCGACCUGCACGAAUGGCGUAAUGAUGGCCAGGCUGUCUCCACCCGAGACUCAGUGAAAUUGAACUCGCUGUGAAGAUGCAGUGUACCCGCGGCAAGACGGAAAGACCCCGUGAACCUUUACUAUAGCUUGACACUGAACAUUGAGCCUUGAUGUGUAGGAUAGGUGGGAGGCUUUGAAGUGUGGACGCCAGUCUGCAUGGAGCCGACCUUGAAAUACCACCCUUUAAUGUUUGAUGUUCUAACGUUGACCCGUAAUCCGGGUUGCGGACAGUGUCUGGUGGGUAGUUUGACUGGGGCGGUCUCCUCCUAAAGAGUAACGGAGGAGCACGAAGGUUGGCUAAUCCUGGUCGGACAUCAGGAGGUUAGUGCAAUGGCAUAAGCCAGCUUGACUGCGAGCGUGACGGCGCGAGCAGGUGCGAAAGCAGGUCAUAGUGAUCCGGUGGUUCUGAAUGGAAGGGCCAUCGCUCAACGGAUAAAAGGUACUCCGGGGAUAACAGGCUGAUACCGCCCAAGAGUUCAUAUCGACGGCGGUGUUUGGCACCUCGAUGUCGGCUCAUCACAUCCUGGGGCUGAAGUAGGUCCCAAGGGUAUGGCUGUUCGCCAUUUAAAGUGGUACGCGAGCUGGGUUUAGAACGUCGUGAGACAGUUCGGUCCCUAUCUGCCGUGGGCGCUGGAGAACUGAGGGGGGCUGCUCCUAGUACGAGAGGACCGGAGUGGACGCAUCACUGGUGUUCGGGUUGUCAUGCCAAUGGCACUGCCCGGUAGCUAAAUGCGGAAGAGAUAAGUGCUGAAAGCAUCUAAGCACGAAACUUGCCCCGAGAUGAGUUCUCCCUGACCCUUUAAGGGUCCUGAAGGAACGUUGAAGACGACGACGUUGAUAGGCCGGGUGUGUAAGCGCAGCGAUGCGUUGAGCUAACCGGUACUAAUGAACCGUGAGGCUUAACCUU
rnacentral:rRNA from 1 species